CCUGGAGACAGGACUCCAACCAAUGGCAACUAAAUAAUGGCACGUGAUUAAUGCAGGGAUGGACAAUGGCAUGUGGAUAAUCUUCCAAAGAAAGUACAUGGAUCCCGUGCUGAAAGAUGGGAUGGGAAGGGUACCACCACCUUCCUGUUGUGUGCCAGCCCCAGAGGAUCUGAGAGUUUCAAGAUCUAACAGAUAAUUAUCUAAAGGACUGUCCGACUGAAGAUCUCAGAGGGAAACCAUCUCUACCAAGGCCAACACCGUUAGCACAGUGGCACAAUGGCACCCUCUGUUGCCCUUCGUGAUUCCUUUGGUGGCUGCUCCCACGUGGAUGUAUUAACUUCUGAAAACAUCUGUGCAUCGUCUUCCCCAAAUCCGACCUCUUCCUGCCUAACUUCCUUGUUUGUUCGGAGUUAUCCUCUGUUAUUUCCCUUCAUAAUAAAAUCCACUUUGCUCUUCGAGUCUA